rnacentral:rRNA from 1 species
AAUCAACGCUGGCGGCAUGCCUUACACAUGCAAGUCGAACGCGAAAGGGGGCAACCCUGAGUAGAGUGGCGAACGGGUGAGUAAUGCAUCGGAACGUGUCCUGUAGCGGGGGACAACCCCGAGAAAUCGAGGCUAAUACCGCAUACGUCCUGAGGGAGAAAGCGGGGGAUUCGCAAGGACCUCGCGCUCAUGGAGCGGCCGAUGUCGGAUUAGCUAGUUGGCGGGGUAAAAGCCCACCAAGGCUACGAUCCGUAGCUGGUUUGAGAGAACGACCAGCCACACUGGGACUGAGACACGGCCCAGACUCCUACGGGAGGCAGCAGUGGGGAAUUUUGGACAAUGGGGGCAACCCUGAUCCAGCCAUGCCGCGUGAGUGAAGAAGGCCUUCGGGUUGUAAANCUCUUUCGGCCGGAACGAAAUCGCGUACGUGAAUAACGUGCGUGGAUGACGGUACUGGAAGAAGAAGCACCGGCUAACUACGUGCCAGCAGCCGCGGUAAUACGUAGGGUGCGAGCGUUAAUCGGAAUUACUGGGCGUAAAGCGUGCGCAGGCGGUUCUGCAAGUCAGAUGUGAAAUCCCCGGGCUUAACCUGG